AAUUUCAGCUGAAAAAGUCAUGAACAUAAAAGUUGUAGAACUCAUCAAGACAUACAACUUUUAUUUUGAUCAUUUCUUCAUCCGACAAAGUGAUAGUAAUAUUGUUUACAAAAUUUACAUAUCUCUCUUAUAGUUAUAAAACCAUAUGAGAGAAAUGUAAAUUUUGUGAACAAUAUUACUAUCACUUUGUCGGAUGAAGAAAUGAUCAAAAUAAAAGUUCUGGAUCUUGAUGAGUUAUACAACUUUAUUGUUGAUGAAUUUUUUAGUUGAAAUC
rnacentral:pre_miRNA from 1 species